rnacentral:rRNA from 1 species
UAGCCACGGUAAAACCCAGCUCCGCGAGUGGUCGGGGACGAUUUAUUUGGGGCCUAAAAGCGUCCGUAGCCGGCCUAUCAAGUCUCUGGUUAAACCUCAAGGCUUCAACCUUGAGAUUGCUGGAGAUACUGGUUAGGGCUAGGGGGGCGGGAGAGGUUUGAGGGGUACUUUCGGCGGGGUAAGGGGCGAAAUCCUAUAAGUCCGCGAAGGACCACCAGUGGCGAAGGC